CUCGCGGUCGAGGACGGUGCGCUCCCGGCCGAUGUCGGCGGCCCGCCGCUCGGCCCGCCGGGCGGCACCGAGCGAUCCCAGAUCCUCCCGCAACUCC
rnacentral:tRNA from 1 species